AUUGAACGCUGGCGGCAGGCCUAACACAUGCAAGUCGAGCGAGCGGCGGACGGGUGAGUAAUAUCCGGGAAACUGCCUGAUGGAGGGGGAUAACUACUGGAAACGGUAGCUAAUACCGCAUGCCAUACGAUGUGCCCAGAUGGGAUGAGCUGGUAGGUGGGGUAAUGGCUCCCCUAGGCGACGAUCCCUAGCUGGUGUGAGAGGAUGACCAGCCACACUGGAACUGAGACACGGCCCAGACUCCUACGGGAGGCAGCAGUGGGGAAUAUUGCACAAUGGGCGCAAGCCUGAUGCAGCCAUGCCGCGUGAGUGAAGAAGGCCUUCGGGUUGUAAAGCACUUUCAGCGGGGAGGCGUUACCCGCAGAAGAAGCACCGGCUAACUCCGUGCCAGCAGCCGCGGUAAUAC
rnacentral:rRNA from 1 species